UAAUUUUUUUUUUCUACGAGAUAACCUUUAAUAUAUAUAUUUGCAUCUAAACUAUUAAUAUUUUCUUUUCAGUUUUUAUUUUUUGUUCUCCCAAUUUUGUUCUACAAUUAAUUUUUUCUGUUUGUAUUAAUUUGUUUUCUUCAACUUCAUUCCUUUUUUUUUUCGUCUUACCAAUGAACGUUUCCUCUGAACUUGUAUUAAAAUAUAAUCCUUGUUUUUUUGUUUUUCAACUUUAUUUUUUUCUAGUUUACAUUUAAACUUUUUUUCUUCUAAUCUUUACUCUAGAUUAGUAUUCAAACUUAAUCCGUGUUUUAGUUUUGUUAUUCAACUUAAUGUUUUUAUCUUUAUUUUGUUUUGUUUCACAACUUAAUCUUUGUCUUUUGUUCUACAGCUUAAUCUUAAUUUAGUUUGGAAACAUAUUCUUAAAGUUUUUUAUUCUUACAAUUGUAAUAAUACAAGAGUAUAUAAUGGGAGGGAUUAUACCUUCAGAAGAAUUUUGACAUGUUCACCAUUCCAGAAACGUAGAUUUUCAUUGGUUGUUGCCUAUUUUACCCUAUCACACCUAAACCGGCUAUAUAAAAAGCGCGCCAACUUUGUUAACCGUCACUUGGAUUUUAGCGCAAAAAAAAAAAAAAAAAAAAAUGGAGCCUAUUAUCUACGGCAAAUUUGAAGUUAUCAACCAUACAAAAAAAGAUGGCUCGACAGAACCAUCUUUGUCGACUAGGUUAAAUAGUAAGACAAGUCUCUCUGUUAAUGUUUUUAACGGAGUUGUCUACAUACAUAUCAACAAGAGGGAGAAAAAAUACUAUCUCCCGUUAACAUUGGAUGAAUUUCAGGAUAUGACAGACCUCCGAAGUAGCCUGGAGGAUAACUUACAUUUAAUUAAUCAGGUAAGUGUCAUUUCUAUAAGCAGUAUAAUGUUUAUCAUCAAUUUAUAGCUAGUUUUAAACAGUGUAUUGCACAACACCAUUCAAUUUCCCCACAGGGUCAGAAACAAGAAGAGACAAAACAAAAGGAACUUGGCAAACAAAAGGAUGAGCAACAGGACGAUGUGAGACACGUGGUUGAUCGAAGAAUGCAUCCAUAUCGUAAGAACCCGUCUGGAGCGGCUCAUAAUUACGCCGAAGAAUUUGAGCAGUAUCUAUCGUCAUUUCAAUGAGUUAUCUCCCUUCGCUCACUACAGUAUAUAUAAAUUCAAGCAGUAUCUUCAA